CUCGGGGGGAGAGGCAGGGUUCCUCAGCCUGGAUUGCGAGAGGGUGCAGGCCAGGCCGAGGGACCCUACCAGUGCACA
rfam:Myotis lucifugus cont2.19878, whole genome shotgun sequence.